rnacentral:lncRNA from 1 species
UAAAAAAGACGCGCAAGAGGAUUAGUCCCCCAAACACCUAUAUUUUUCAUUAUUGGCAUCGAUCGGUUAAGAGCAAGUACAUGAAUACGGGCUUAGUUAGGCCUGAACACAGGAGGCCUUCGGGGGUCCACGCACGGCAAAGGGCACUUCUUGAACACGACCAUGAAAGGCUCGCGCCCAUCCUUUUCUUUCCGUACGGUCAGCCACUGCUCACCACGGUACUCAUACAAUACCAGAUCACGGCAUGGCGGCCUGUAGCACGAUACCAGCUUGUACCCUGUGCCAUGCCUCUCGACACGAAACCGGUACGACUGUUCUCUGCAUAUGGUUCCGUGCGUGCACUCUGGCAUCGCAGUCACCGGCGCCCCUAUAAAGUGGCCGACGGUCAUGUGCUGCUGGUGCGUUACGAACUCAUCCUCGAUGCGCCACUGGAGAUACAUCAUGCAUUGGUUAACCGUGUUGUUGAAGGCGAAUAUGACGUCAUUUGAGAGGCGAGGGGUGUAGCCAGCACCCACAUCCGCCGCCUGGACCAUCACGGGCUCUCCCAGGUAUCCGGACUGCCCGCACUGCCCAGCGGCUGCAUGGAGAGGGCUGUCGUAAGCCCACCAAGUGCCAGCGCUGAGACAACGGCCACUCAUGUUGCCGCUCGCCGGCAGCAUGAUGUGGUAGAGGCUAUCGAUCAUUAGCUCGUGGCCGUCCAUGUCGUAGACCGGCUGCGCUUGUGCCUGAGUGGCGCUGCACAGUGUGGCCAGCUGGGAGGCCAUGGCCAAGCCCAAGAGCGGGAGGAUGGGGACGUGACCAAAGCGGUCCAUGGCUAGCUAAGAAAGAAAAACGCGGUUGAGUACUUCUAUUUGAGUUGUUGGUGCUUUGAUAUCUUCGAGGACAUGAAGAUAGUGGGUUUAUAUAGAUGGUGUAAAAGGGACGAGACCUUAAUUAAUCAGUGACAUUCCGCGGUGCGUCGACCGGCCCCUCAAGCGUCGGUUGAAUCCCCUGGACCGCCGGUUCCCUCGUGUCGACUCCCUCGAGCGCUAGAUACCACCCGUGGCUGGCCUCCGCUGAUCCUCUCGACCGUCAGUUCCCUCUAGCGUCGCCUUGGCUUGGUGCUAAAUGGGCCAUUGAAGCCCAAUCAACGCAACGGCAGGCCUUCAAAACAAAAAAGCUGCCCAUUAGGACAGACGGCCUAAUCGCGGUAAACUGGCACUAAAACAAUGAUCUGACAGCCAGAAACAAUCUAAAUGCGUGAUCCAACGGUUAAAACUGCUGAGGGUGUGAGAGAGCUCACUUUAGACUCGGUUUUACUGUCCUAAAUAAAUAGUGAGGUUUUGACCUAAGGCGAGGGAAAUAAUGCUUGGUGAUUGUGAGCGAGUGACAACUGGGUUGGGUCAGAUGGCCGCGUGCAUUACGGGCUGUUUGACUCCUUAAUUAUUUUUAAAUAAAUGGGACUUUUAAAAAUAUGCUGGAGGUAACGAAUUAGUUUUGGUUCUUAACUAUGAAUUUUCAAACGCUCUCAUAUGUAAACAUUUUGGAUGUCAACCCUUCAUAAAUCAUGACAAUAGUUUAUAACAGAGUCUCUAUCGUGACACGGGACAAACAUAAGAAAGUAAAUGGCUUAGGAAAAAUAAAUUAAUAUGAGCUACUUUUAAUAGUUGUUUUCUGAACUUGUUUCAAGGGGUGACUAUAUAAUAUUUUACACCAUCAUUUAACUACGCUAAAUAUUGCAAUCUAAGCAGAUAGUUGAGACGUGCCAUUGGAAGAAAAAUGUAUAAAAUAUUAUAAACGCCCAAAACUCAGGAUUUGGUUUACCAAGCUUAGCAAGGUCUUACAAAGAACUGUUCUAUCCCAGACUUAACAGUACAAAGGUUACUCUUCAUAUCCUAUAGAAAACAUCAACACCCACAGGAAGAUAGUGGAAAUGCAAAGUAACAGAAAUCAGAAAAGAAGCUUGAACUUUACAAAUACCUGGAUCUGUUUCUUUUGUAGCUCGAAAUGUAUAUCUGCCUUUGCCUGUAUAUCUUUUGCCACCCUAUCACCGUUCACCAGCACAGCAGCACUGACAUCUCCCGUACUACCCACAGAAUUGUGAUCUUCGCCGUCCAUCUUCACAUUAUUAGUGACGGUGGCCUCCCUCACAUUGCUCACCUCUUGGGCCAUCUGGAACGAACGUAAUGCGAGGGUGUUGCCCCACAAAAGUGCCCCGCCAUUUGUAAUCCUAGCCCUCAUCAAAGAGGAGGAGGCACUUUGGGUCGCCGUCGGUGCUAAGAAGUUGAGUUCAAUCAUGCCGGGAGAGUAGUCCCUUUGUAAGGCGGUGUUGUAAUCCCUGAAACUCUUUCUUCUCUCUUAAUUAAUAUAUGAGGCAAAUCUUUUGCCUCCUUUAAAAAAAAAACAUUAUUAGUGACACAACUGUUGUCUUCUUCGUCCGUCUUCACAUGAUUAGUGACAGACUCGUGAUCUUGUUCGUCCAUCUUUACAUUAUUAGCGAGUCAAUGAAAAAUACUUGGUUAUUUAUCCAUUUCAGCCAUGGAAAAGGGAAUAAAUUUCAUUUCAACAGUAUGUUAGAUAUGUGAAGAUAACAAUAGGCUACAGCCCACAGAAAUAGAUACCUUCCCAUGAUCGCUGGUGGAAGUUGCCUCCAUUUCGUGUGGUGUGUCUGAUGACUCUGUUUUAGAUAAUGAGCUACUGUCAUUAGGAUCUAUAGUGUAUUAUUCUUCUUUUUUUUUGGAAAUGAAGGCAUGCCCCCGGCCUCUGCAUCAUGAUGAUGCAUACGCCCUCUUAUAAAAAUCCAGAAAGUAGCGUCAUGAUUGUCUUACAGCUCGCAAACGGAGCAAAACAGAAAAAGCAAAAACUGAAAAAAUACAAGCUGGCAAAGACAACCGGAGCGGUAAAAAUAAGGAUAAGCUCUCUAGACUCUUAUCCUAUUGUGCGAACGCCAUCCGAACCGGUUGAAUAUACCCCGAGCCACCAUCUCCCAUUGGUUGCACCCAGUAACCAAAGGCUCCCUGGAGUC